rnacentral:rRNA from 1 species
CCUACGGGAGGCAGCAGUGAGGAAUAUUGCACAAUGGAGGAAACUCUGAUGCAGCAACGCCNCGUGGAGGAUGACGCAUUUCGGNGUGUAAACUCCUUUUAUCAAGGAAGAAAAUGACGGNACUUGAUGAAUAAGCACCGGCUAACUCCGUGCCAGCAGCCGCGGUAAUA